GUUUUAGCAGUGAGUCCUCAUCCUUCGAGGACAUGAUUAUUUCUUCACUGUAUUUUGAUUAGUUAUUAGUUGGAGUUAGUUGGGUACAUGUCCCAUCAACUCCUUAUUCAGAUUAUUUAGACAGUAGAGCCUUUCAAACUAAAUGCAGACUCGAUACAGAUUUUCAUAUUUUAGACUUCAGUAUUCCCUAUUUUGUUUUGGGUAAUCUAUUACCCCACACAUAUAUUAUGUUAUUCAGUUACAUUCAGUGUUGGACCUUACAGCCUCUCA
rnacentral:lncRNA from 1 species